GUGAGGACCUGAGGCACAGAUGCUAACCAGCUUGCUGGAGAUCACACACUCAUGAGUGGCAGAGUGGGGCUUGGAACCGGGUAGCCUGGCUCUGGAGCCCUCACUCCAUCCACACACCAUGCUGGGACCCAGUCGAGUGACCAGCAGACCGGUUGUGUGGGUUAGGUGGAAUGGUGGAUAUAAACCACACAGCCCAGCUCCUGACCCAUGCUGGGCCCUCAACUUAAUUGCUGCCUAGAGCUCAUAGAAGGAUCUCACAGCACUGCUCCAGGGCACUGAAGCUUACAGUGAAAGCACAUUUUCAGCAAGUACUGAAGAUUGUCUCCACGUUGGCUGGUUUGAAACUGUGAUCUUUUGAAUGUAAUCCAGGAAAGGAAUGGAAAGGAAAGAAGUGCUCAGAAAGCUCCCAGAAGCAUUUUGGCACUCACCAAAGCAGCCGGAAGAUGAAUAACACAGUGGGGAUAGAUGGCUAACAAGAAGCCCCUCUCCGGAUGCCGGCCCCUCUUGGACUUCCCAGCUUCCAGAAUUGUGUAUGUUUAAGCUCAGGCUGGAAAAGGAUCACUGAAAGUCACUUGGAUGGUGUCUCGUGUGUCUGUGAUGAGCUUGCUGUUGCUUUCUUUCUCCUUGACAGAUGAGAAAACAGUGGCUUCAAAGGUUAAACAACUUGUCUUCGAUUGCACAGCUAACAAGAGAUACUGUUAUAUGUGCUCAUGUAAAUUGUCUGGCAAUUAGCUGCAAGAGGAUUGUAGGAAGAGAUUCUACCUAUCCAUCUCUUUACACCAUGCCUUCUGAAGAGAAGAUUUUCGGAGAGAAUCCUUGGAUUUAGUCAGGAAUAUUAGAUCCCUAAAUAAAAAUGUCUAAAAUCCUU
rnacentral:lncRNA from 10 species